GAGAUCGGGAUAACACCUGGAAACAGAUGCUAAUACCGGAUAACAAUAGAUGAUGCCUAUCAACUGUUUAAAAGAUGGUUCUGCUAUCACUCUUGGAUGGACCUGCGGUGCAUUAGCUAGUUGGUAGGGUAACGGCCUACCAAGGCGAUGAUGCAUAGCCGAGUUGAGAGACUGAUCGGCCACAUUGGGACUGAGACACGGCCCAAACUCCUACGGGAGGCAGCAGCU
rnacentral:rRNA from 1 species